rnacentral:lncRNA from 11 species
CUUGCAUGGUUUUUAGGAUGUUGUGAUAUGAAUAACUAAUUGUUUCCCUUUUUGUAGCCUUCCCAGGUAGAACCUACCCCACAACCCUAAGAAGCAUCACAAAGCUGAACAUCUCAUCCAGGAAAAUACAGAUCUGCAACCUGAAGAUGCUGAAAAACAAUGACAACACCAGCUUCUAUGAUUCCCAGCUACCUACUGCACAUUUUUCUUACUAAUCAAGUCCUAAACCAUUGAGAGCCU